GCAGUCGAACGGUGAAGCCAAGCUUGCUUGGUGGAUCAGUGGCGAACGGGUGAGUAACACGUGAGCAACCUGCCCUGAACUCUGGGAUAAGCGCUGGAAACGGCGUCUAAUACUGGAUAUGAGCUGCGGAGGCAUCUUCGUGGUUGGAAAGAUUUUUCGGUUUGGGAUGGGCUCGCGGCCUAUCAGCUUGUUGGUGAGGUAAUGGCUCACCAAGGCGUCGACGGGUAGCCGGCCUGAGAGGGUGACCGGCCACACUGGGACUGAGACACGGCCCAGACUCCUACGGGAGGCAGCAGUGGGGAAUAUUGCACAAUGGGCGGAAGCCUGAUGCAGCAACGCCGCGUGAGGGAUGACGGCCUUCGGGUUGUAAACCUCUUUUAGCAGGGAAGAAGCGAAAGUGACGGUACCUGCAGAAAAAGCGCCGGCUAACUACGUGCCAGCAGCCGCGGUAAUACGUAGGGCGCAAGCGUUAUCCGGAAUUAUUGGGCGUAAAGAGCUCGUAGGCGGUUUGUCGCGUCUGCUGUGAAAACCCGAGGCUCAACCUCGGGCCUGCAGUGGGUACGGGCAGACUAGAGUGCGGUAGGGGAGAUUGGAAUUCCUGGUGUAGCGGUGGAAUGCGCAGAUAUCAGGAGGAACACCGAUGGCGAAGGCAGAUCUCUGGGCCGUAACUGACGCUGAGGAGCGAAAGGGUGGGGAGCAAACAGGCUUAGAUACCCUGGUAGUCCACCCCGUAAACGUUGGGAACUAGUUGUGGGGUCCAUUCCACGGAUUCCGUGACGCAGCUAACGCAUUAAGUUCCCCGCCUGGGGAGUACGGCCGCAAGGCUAAAACUCAAAGGAAUUGACGGGGACCCGCACAAGCGGCGGAGCAUGCGGAUUAAUUCGAUGCAACGCGAAGAACCUUACCAAGGCUUGACAUACACGAGAACGCUGCAGAAAUGUAGAACUCUUUGGACACUCGUGAACAGGUGGUGCAUGGUUGUCGUCAGCUCGUGUCGUGAGAUGUUGGGUUAAGUCCCGCAACGAGCGCAACCCUCGUUCUAUGUUGCCAGCACGUAAUGGUGGGAACUCAUGGGAUACUGCCGGGGUCAACUCGGAGGAAGGUGGGGAUGACGUCAAAUCAUCAUGCCCCUUAUGUCUUGGGCUUCACGCAUGCUACAAUGGCCGGUACAAAGGGCUGCAAUACCGCGAGGUGGAGCGAAUCCCAAAAAGCCGGUCCCAGUUCGGAUUGAGGUCUGCAACUCGACCUCAUGAAGUCGGAGUCGCUAGUAAUCGCAGAUCAGCAACGCUGCGGUGAAUACGUUCCCGGGUCUUGUACACACCGCCCGUCAAGUCAUGAAAGUCGGUAACACCUGAAGCCGGUGGCCC
rnacentral:rRNA from 1 species